rnacentral:rRNA from 1 species
UGGGGAAUCUUGCACAAUGGGCGAAAGCCUGAUGCAGCAACGCCGCGUGCGGGAAGAAGGCCCUAGGGUUGUAAACCGCUUUCAGCAGGGAAGAAACUGACGGUACCUGUAGAAGAAGGUGCGGCCAACUACGUGCCAGCAGCCGCGGUGACACGUAGGCACCAAGCGUUGUCCGGAUUUAUUGGGCGUAAAGAGCUCGUAGGCGGUUCGGUAAGUCGGGUGUGAGAACUCUGGGCUCAACCCAGAGCCGCCACCUGAUACUGCUGUGACUCGAGUGCGGUAGGGGAGCGGGGAAUUCCUGGUGUAGCGGUGAAAUGCGCAGAUAUCAGGAGGAACACCAGUGGCGAAGGCGCCGCUCCGGGCCGUGACUGACGCUGAGGAGCGAAAGCGUGGGUAGCAAGCAGGAUUAGAUACCCUGGUAGUCCACGCCGUAAGCGUUGGGCACUAGGUGUGGGUCUCAACCAACGAGAUCCGCGCCGUCGCUAACG